rnacentral:rRNA from 1 species
CAAGGAAUUUUCGUCAAUGGGCGAAAGCCUGACGACGCAACGCCGCGUGGAGGACGAAGAUUUUCGGAUCGUAAACUCCUUUCGAUCGGGACGAACGACUGGUGACCUAACACGUCAUCAGAGUGACGGUACCGAGAGAAGAAGCCCCGGCUAACUCCGUGCCAGCAGCCGCGGUAAUACGGGGGGGGCAAGCGUUGUUCGGAAUUACUGGGCGUAAAGGGCGCGUAGGCGGCCCGCUAAGUCGAACGUGAAAUCCCUGGACUCAACCCAGGAACUGCGUCCGAUACUGGCAGGCUUGAAUCCGGGAGAGGGAUGUGGAAUUCCAGGUGUAGCGGUGAAAUGCGUAGAUAUCUGGAGGAACACCGGUGGCGAAGGCGGCAUCCUGGACCGGUAUUGACGCUGAUGCGCGAAAGCCAGGGGAGCAAA